rnacentral:rRNA from 1 species
GAUGAACGCUGGCGGCGUGCUUAACACAUGCAAGUCGAACGAGAAGUGAAGACGGAACCCUUCGGGCGGAAGGCUUUAUUUCGAGUGGCGGACGGGUGAGUAACGCGUGGGUAACCUGCCUCAUACAGGGGGAUAACAGUUGGAAACGACUGUUAAUACCGCAUAAGACCACAGCACCGCAUGGUGCGGGGGUAAAAACUCCGGUGGUAUGAGAUGGACCCGCGUUCGAUUAGCCAGUUGGCGGGGUAACGGCCCACCAAAGCGACGAUCGAUAGCCGAUCUGAGAGGAUGACCGGCCACAUUGGGACUGAGACACGGCCCAAACUCCUACGGGAGGCAGCAGUGGGGAAUAUGGCACAAUGGGGGAAACCCUGAUGCAGCGACGCCGCGGGAGUGAAGAAGUAUUUCGGUAGGUAAAGCUCUAUCAGCAGGGAAGAAAAUGACGGUACCGGAGUAAGAAGCCCCGGCUAACUACGU